ACUCCUGCGGGAGGCAGCAGUGGGGAAUAUUGGACAAUGGGCGCAAGCCUGAUCCAGCCAUGCCGCGUGAGUGAUGAAGGCCCUAGGGUUGUAAAGCUCUUUCACCGGUGAAGAUAAUGACGGUAACCGGAGAAGAAGCCCCGGCUAACUUCGUGCCAGCAGCCGCGGUAAUACGAAGGGGGCUAGCGUUGUUCGGAUUUACUGGGCGUAAAGCGCACGUAGGCGGACUAUUAAGUCAGGGGUGAAAUCCCGGGGCUCAACCCCGGAACUGCCUUUGAUACUGGUAGUCUUGAGUUCGAGAGAGGUGAGUGGAAUUCCGAGUGUAGAGGUGAAAUUCGUAGAUAUUCGGAGGAACACCAGUGGCGAAGGCGGCUCACUGGCUCGAUACUGACGCUGAGGUGCGAAAGCGUGGGGAGCAAACAGGAUUAGAAACCCUAGUAGUCCCAU
rnacentral:rRNA from 1 species